rnacentral:rRNA from 3 species
UAGCAUAUCAAUAAGCGGAGGAAAAGAAACCAACAGGGAUUGCUCUAGUAACGGCGAGUGAAGCAGCAAUAGCUCAAAUUUGAAAUCUGGCGUCUUCGACGUCCGAGUUGUAAUUUGUAGAGGAUGCUUCUGAGUAACCACCGACCUAAGUUCCUUGGAACAGGACGUCAUAGAGGGUGAGAAUCCCGUAUGCGGUCGGAAAGGUGCUCUAUACGUAGCUCCUUCGACGAGUCGAGUUGUUUGGGAAUGCAGCUCUAAAUGGGAGGUAAAUUUCUUCUAAAGCUAAAUAUUGGCCAGAGACCGAUAGCGCACAAGUAGAGUGAUCGAAAGAUGAAAAGCACUUUGGAAAGAGAGUUAAAAAGCACGUGAAAUUGUUAAAAGGGAAGGGAUUGCAACCAGACUUGCUCGCGGUGUUCCGCCGGUCUUCUGACCGGUCUACUCGCCGCGUUGCAGGCCAGCAUCGUCUGGUGCCGCUGGAUAAGACUUGAGGAAUGUAGCUCCCUCGGGAGUGUUAUAGCCUCUUGUGAUGCAGCGAGCGCCGGGCGAGGUCCGCGCUUCGGCUAGGAUGCUGGCGUAAUGGUCGUAAUCCGCCCGUCUUGAAACACGGACCAAGGAGUCUAACAUCUAUGCGAGUGUUCGGGUGUCAAACCCCUACGCGUAAUGAAAGUGAACGGAGGUGAGAACCGCAAGGUGCAUCAUCGACCGAUCCUGAUGUCUUCGGAUGGAUUUGAGUAAGAGCAUAGCUGUUGGGACCCGAAAGAUGGUGAACUAUGCCUGAAUAGGGUGAAGCCAGAGGAAACUCUGGUGGAGGCUCGCAGCGGUUCUGACGUGCAAAUCGAUCGUCAAAUUUGGGUAUAGGGGCGAAAGACUAAUCGAACCAUCUAGUAGCUGGUUCCUGCCGA